rnacentral:rRNA from 1 species
UACGAAGGGGGCUAGCGUUGCUCGGAAUCACUGGGCGUAAAGCGCACGUAGGCGGAUUUCUAAGUCAGGGGUGAAAUCCUGGAGCUCAACUCCAGAACUGCCUUUGAUACUGGGAAUCUCGAGUCCGGGAGAGGUGAGUGGAACUGCGAGUGUAGAGGUGAAAUUCGUAGAUAUUCGCAAGAACACCAGUGGCGAAGGCGGCUCACUGGCCCGGUACUGACGCUGAGGUGCGAAAGCGUGGGGAGCAACG